rnacentral:rRNA from 1 species
AACGAACGCUGGCGGCAGGCUUAACACAUGCAAGUCGAACGCAUCGCAAGAUGAGUGGCAGACGGGUGAGUAACGCGUGGGAAUCUACCCAGUUCUACGGAACAACAGUUGGAAACGACUGCUAAUACCGUAUGCGCCCUACGGGGGAAAGAUUUAUCGGAAUUGGAUGAGCCCGCGUAAGAUUAGCUAGUUGGUGGGGUAAUGGCCUACCAAGGCGACGAUCUUUAGCUGGUCUGAGAGGAUGAUCAGCCACACUGGGACUGAGACACGGCCCAGACUCCUACGGGAGGCAGCAGUGGGGAAUAUUGGACAAUGGGCGCAAGCCUGAUCCAGCCAUGCCGCGUGAGUGAUGAAGGCCUUAGGGUUGUAAAGCUCUUUCACCGAUGAAGAUAAUGACGGUAGUCGGAGAAGAAGCCCCGGCUAACUUCGUGCCAGCAGCCGCCGCAGUAA